UUAUUGGAGAGUUUGAUCCUGGCUCAGGACGAACGCUGGCGGCGUGCCUAAUACAUGCAAGUCGAGCGAAUCUGAGGGAGCUUGCUCCCGAAGAUUAGCGGCGGACGGGUGAGUAACACGUGGGUAACCUGCCUGUAAGAUUGGGAUAACUCCGGGAAACCGGAGCUAAUACCGGAUAACAUUUCGAACCGCAUGGUUCGAAGUUGAAAGGUGGCUUUUGCUACCACUUACAGAUGGACCCGCGGCGCAUUAGCUAGUUGGUGAGGUAACGGCUCACCAAGGCGACGAUGCGUAGCCGACCUGAGAGGGUGAUCGGCCACACUGGGACUGAGACACGGCCCAGACUCCUACGGGAGGCAGCAGUAGGGAAUCUUCCGCAAUGGACGAAAGUCUGACGGAGCAACGCCGCGUGAGCGAAGAAGGCCUUCGGGUCGUAAAGCUCUGUUGUUAGGGAAGAACAAGUACCGUUC
rnacentral:ncRNA from 1 species